rnacentral:rRNA from 1 species
UACAGAGGUGGCAAGCGUUGUUCGGAAUUACUGGGCGUAAAGGGCGCGUAGGCGGCCUUCUAAGUCAGACGUGAAAUCCCCCGGCUUAACCUGGGAACUGCGUCUGAUACUGGAAGGCUUGGGUGCGGGAGAGGGAUGUGGAAUUCCAGGUGUAGCGGUGAAAUGCGUAGAGAUGUGGAGGAACACCGAUGGCGAAGGCAGCCCCCUGGGCUAACACUGACGCUCAGGCACGAAAGCGUGGGGAGCAAACAGG